AAAAGCCAAAGUGAGCAUUAAACCUGAUCAACAUGUGUUCAGAGGAGACACAGUCACUCUCAGAUGUGACAUUGAUGGUGAAGGAGUCACUGGCUGGCGGUACAGCUGGUAUAAAGACGGUUCAAACAGUGUUUUCAGUGAACUACAGGAACACACAUUCAGUCCUGUUACUGAGUCUGACGCAGGUAAAUACUUCUGUUAUGGAGCAGAGAGAGGAGGAUCACGAACAUCAAACAUCGGUGAUGAAGUUACACUGACAGUAGAUACACCCCAGGCAGUUUUAAGUGUUUCUCCACAGAAGUGGUUGACUGAAGGAGAUCCAGUGACUCUGAUCUGUGAGGUUUACGGCUCCUCUACAGGCUGGACAUUCAGCUGGUACACUCUAACUGCUUCAUCAGACUACAGCAAUCGUUAUAACCUCCUCUCAGACAGCAGCAGGGGAGCUGGAGGAAACUAUACUUUCAGUUCUGCUGCUCUAAAACACAC